UUAGAGGAAGUAAAAGUCGUAACAAGGUUUCCGUAGGUGAACCUGCGGAAGGAUCAUUACUGAGUGAAGGGUCUCUCUCUCUAUAGGGGGGCCCAUAUCCCUCCCCACCCGUGUCUACCGUACCAUGUUGCUUCGGCGGGGCCUCUUCUCCCUUGACCGGUCAAGGAAGGAGCCCGCCGGAAGCCCCCCCCCUGUUUUUAACUACUGUUAUGAACUGUAUUACUGUCUGAGUGAGAGAAGUGAAUAGUUUUAAAAAAAACUUUCAACAAUGGAUCUCUUGGUUCCAGCAUCGAUGAAGAACGCAGCGAAAUGCGAUAAGUAAUAUGAAUUGCAGAAUUCCGUGAAUCAUCGAAUCUUUGAACGCAUAUUGCGCCCUUUGGUAUUCCAAGGGGCAUACCUGUCCGAGCGUCAUGGCCGUUCUUCCAAGAAAUUGGGUGUUGGAUCGUCGUCCCCUUAAUAAAUAGCCCGGGCGGGCCCAAUUAAUAGCCCGGGCGGGGACGGGUCCAAAAGGCAAUGGCGGUGCCGUUUUCGGUCCUAGAAGCAUAAUGGGGCGUUGUCACCGGCUUCAAUGGACUGGAUCGGUUGCUGAUCUUCCCUUUGGGCGUUAAAAGCGCCCCUAUUCUUUAAAUCAGGUUGACCUCGGAUCAGGCAGGGAUACCCGCUGAACUUAAGCAUAUCAAUAA
rnacentral:rRNA from 1 species